rnacentral:misc_RNA from 1 species
GAUGAAGAACGCAGCGAAAUGCGAUAAGUAGUGUGAAUUGCAGAAUUCAGUGAAUCAUCGAAUCUUUGAACGCACAUUGCGCCCCUUGGUAUUCCAUGGGGCAUGCCUGUUCGAGCGUCAUUUGUACCUUCAAGCUCUGCUUGGUGUUGGGUGUUUGUCCUGCUCUAGUGGCGGGACUCGCCUUAAAGUAAUUGGCAGCCAGUGUUUUGGUUUUGAAGCGCAGCACAAGUCGCGAUUCAAGUCUAUACGCUAGUUUCCACAAGUCUUUUAUCACUUUUGACCUCGGAUCAGGUAGGGAUACCCGCUGAACUUAAGCAUAUCAAUAAGCGGAGGA